UACGGAGGGUGCUAGCGUUGUUCGGAAUUACUGGGCGUAAAGGGCGCGUAGGUGGCCUGUGGAAGUCUGCGGUGAAAGCCCGGCGCUCAACGCCGGGUCGGCCGUGGAUACUCUCGGGCUCGAGCUUACUAGAGGCAGAUGGAAUUCCGGGUGUAGCGGUGGAAUGCGUAGAGAUCCGGAAGAACACCGGUGGCGAAGGCGGUCUGCUGGGGUAAUGCUGACACUGAUGCGCGACAGCGUGGGGAGCAAACAGG
rnacentral:rRNA from 1 species